UUGUGAAUCAGGCCCAGGCCCAUCUCUCCAGCAACCCUCUUCCUGUCGUCACUUCGUCUUCCUCACAUCCCUGCGAUCUCCCCGAUGUGAUCCUCAAACUUCAGUCGGCGGCGUUGAUCAGUAACGUCUCUCCUUUCAAUUAAUCACCUCUUUACUCCGACUUUAAUCGUUUGAUCCAACCCGACUUAAAAGUACCUCUUUGUCUUCCUUAAAAACCCAAAGAAGGCUUCCCUAUAAAUAUCGGUCUCCUCCUGCUGCGAUGAGCGCACCUCUCACAAUAUCAGAAAGGAUUCUAAUUUCCAGUGAUCGAUUUCCAUGUCUUCAUACACUCUGCUUGCUGAUCUCAGAGCCGGCCGAUACUCUAACACCACGGAGGUGCGUCUGCUGCAUUUUUGGGAGGCCAGAAAUAUCACCAGUGAAGACCUCAUCAGUGUUGACAUGUUGCUCAUCAAUGAGAAUGCGACGAUGGUUCAUGGGUCUGUUACUGCUCUUCGCCAGCUCAAGUUCAGGCAACAACUGUCUGAGGGAAGUGUCUACCGUUGCUUAUGAAUCUUUCACCCUCCUUACCGAUCUGAAAGCUGGGUGCUGCUCCAACACUGAAGAGGUUCGUUUUCUGAGGUAUUGGGAGAUAUGCAACAUUUAUAGAGUUUAAGGUUGGAUCCUUUUCUUAACCGGCUAUUUAGCACGUUGAGCUGGACCAUCAUUGAGUUUUCAGUCUCGGUGCGAGAUAUGCAAGAAAACAACCAGGUAAUGGAGUUUCAGAAAAGGAAAUGUUGCGUGAUAUUUGAGCUUUCAAGCAAUCUUGCAAGGGUUUCUUGAUGGGUAUAAACAUUUGCAAUUCUGCAAUACCACAAGCAUUUCUUGAUGGGACGGACACAAAUCUUCGCAGGCUCACUGAGGAAGGUGCAAAUAUCCCUGAAGUAAGGCUGCCUGAAGUUGUGGCAUCAUGAAGAGAUGACAAAUAUGGGUAAGUGGUAACACUUGCAAUGUUGGAGAGAAGCCAUCUACUUCUAAUGCUUCCAGUGCCGGACGUUCUGCAACGACCAAAGAACAACUUGCUAGGUUUUAUUAUCUUUUUCAUUUUCGCUUAAAUCUGUUUCCUUUUGUUUUAAAAAUUAACGUGAUAUAGUUGCUGUUUCAAUUAUUAACAAUGGCACAAACUGCCUUAUUCCUCUGAGAUAGAACUUGACUUAUCACCUCGGUCUUCUGUUUGUGUUUGACUACCGUAAUGUAUCUAAUGGAAUUGAUUAUUUGACCA